rnacentral:lncRNA from 1 species
GUGAUCAUGUGAGUUACUACUUUAAAAAAACUCCCCUUUAUAUAGAUAUACCAUUAGUUCUGUCCCUCUAGAGAACCCUGACUAAUACGGAUUUUGGUGCCAUGAGUGGUUGUAGAGGAACAGAAUAUUAAGGAUGAAGAUUUUUCAUUGGUUUGGGGGUUUCUGGAGACAGGACUGGCAGGCAGUUCCACCUGCAGCCCCGGUG